AUCUGAGCCGAAGGCAGAGGCUUUAACCCACUGAUCACCCAGGCGCCCCUGGAAUAUUAUUUUUUAAAAAUUGAAGAGAAUCAAGCUUCAGCCAGAUUGCAUCUAUUGCAAAGUUACUUCUUCUCCAUUUUGUAAGUGGUCAUUGAGAGAUGAAGCUUGAGUUCUGUGUGAGUUCUCCAGGCUCCCUCCCAGAACAACUUAAGAAGAUGAUGAGAAUACGCAAGUCAUAGUUUACUUUUGAAGAAGCGUUUCUCAGCAGUGACCUGAGUCUUCCAGGACUUGGGACAACCUAAUAGCAGCACCAAAAAUGGAGAGUGCUGGAAGUGUACAAAGCAUUUUCUUAUAGAAGUCUCAGCAAGAUGCCUCUAGCAAGAUAUGUUUCUUUCCAUUUCACGUGUGAGGAAGAAAGCUGUGUGCAGAAAAG